AUUGAGGUAAUUUAAUAUUAAAAUGAAAGGUUGUGGUCCUUUUUAUGAGAUGCACCUCCCUUGAUU
rnacentral:tRNA from 1 species